rnacentral:tRNA from 1 species
GCACCCGUGGUUCAACGGUAGAAUGUCUGACUGCCGGUCAGAAGAUGAGGGUUCGAUUCCCUCCGGGUGCUCUA